CACUCUGGGGGUAUUGGGGUGACAGAAGGUAAGAGGCCACACAGACUGUGAUUACGGGAGGAUUUUAGAGCUCUCUUGGAAGGCUUAGACGGGGAAAAGACCAGCCAAGGCGGAAAGGAGAAACACACCUAGCAGCUGAUGAUGACCUACAAAUGGCCAAAUGCUGUGUUGUUCCUGAGCCAAAGGAAGGCCCUCACCCGGAGCCUCUGCAGUGAAUACAAAAGGGAUUCGAUGCAAAGCUGCACAGUGGAGCUACUAUGUGUGUGAGAGAGACAGGGCAACAUCAAGAGAAAAAGGGGGAGAGAAGCAGCGGGGGAGGCCAUUGUGAGCAGGCUCAGCUCAAGUACAUCUCAAUGUGAGGGACUUUUUUUCUUUCUCCCUUUUUUUGCUGUGUUUUUUAAGAGUGAACAUUCCUUUUGAUGCAUUUAUUUAAAGCUGUUCAUUUUGGUGAAAAUAUGUCCUCCAAUGUUGGGCAGGGCUGGGGUGGCCAUCUGCAACUUUUGGCGCCGAUGCGGGGCUACUUAUUAAUUUCCUCCAUUUUACCCCAAGAGAUCGAUCAACAAGAAUUGAGAAAAUUAAUGAUUGUGAAUGCAUUAGAAUAGAGGCAAGUGUGGUGAACGCAAUAAAGACAUUGCCCAAAGGUCACGUGAGGUCAAAUAGUUAAUGGCUCAAAUCAUUAUCUCAAUUAUACUCAAAGUGUCCUUGAUGAUACAUUAUUAAUAAAAAUGUGUGCGCUA